AUUGAACGCUGGCGGCAGGCCUAACACAUGCAAGUCGAACGAGUGGCGGACGGGUGAGUAAUGUCUGGGAAACUGCCCGAUGGAGGGGGAUAACUACUGGAAACGGUAGCUAAUACCGCAUACCAUCGGAUGUGCCCAGAUGGGAUUAGCUUGUAGGUGGGGUAACGGCUCACCUGGGCGACGAUCCCUAGCUGGUCUGAGCGGAUGACCAGCCACACUGGAACUGAGACACGGUCCACACUCCUACGGAGGGCAGCAGUGGGGAAUAUUGCACAAUGGGCGAAAGCCUGAUUCAGCCAUGCCGGGUGUAUUAAGAAGGCCUUCGGGUUGUAAAGUACUUUCAGCGAGGAGGCGGUGCUCGCAGAAGAAGCACCGGCUAACUCCGUGCCAGCAGCCGCGGUAAUAC
rnacentral:rRNA from 1 species